rnacentral:piRNA from 1 species
UGGGAACUAUAUUCAGGGAAUUGCCAGCAC